UCUGUUCGGAUCCUGGAUAAC
rnacentral:siRNA from 1 species